rnacentral:lncRNA from 10 species
GGAGCUUGCAGUAAGCAGAGAUUGUGCCACUGCACUCCAGCCUGGGUGACAGAGCAAGACUCCGUCUCAAAAAAAAAACAACAAAAAAACACAAAAAUUAGUUGGGCGUGGUGGUAGGCACCUAUAAUCCCAGCUACUCAGGAGGCUAGGGCACAAGAAUCGCUUGAACCUGAGAAGUGGAGGUUGCAGUGAGCCAAGAUCAUACAAUUGCACUCCAGCCUGGGCAAUAAGAGCGAAACUCCAUCUCAAAAAAAAAAAAAAAAAAAAGUUUCUGUACCUAAAGUUUUAUCAUUGAGGCCGUGUUGACUAGAAAAGGACGGCCCCUCUCAGGGUUAUUGGAUUCCUAGUGAUAGAAAAUGACUCCUUCAAAAGCACCUUUCAUCAGACUAACCAAUCUUUCCAGCCCCCAGCUCCUUCCAGUCACAUUAUUGGGCUCUUAUACUGCAGGACACUAUUCCCCUGCCCUAAUCAUCCCAAAGCAAG